rnacentral:misc_RNA from 1 species
GUUCUGUAGGUGAACCUGCGGAAGGAUCAUUAUUGUAUAGCGGAGCUUCGAGACCUGUCUCUAACCCGAUAGGACGUUCACGCCCGAGUGCCCUCACACACAUCCAUCUCACCCCUCUGUGCUCCACCGCGUGGGUCCCCCUUUGGCUUGUUCGGAGGGGGGCUUACGUCUGCACACAAACUUUGUAUGUAGUGUAGUAUGGAUUUUUUGUUUUUGCGAUCCCGAAAUCAAUACAACUUUCAACAACGGAUCUCUUGGCUCUG